GAGGCUGUAGCUCAAUGGUAAAGCAUCUGCCUUGCAUGCUGAAAGUCCCAGGUUCGAUCCCUGGGACAGACUCC